CGUAGAAAAUGAUUUCAAAGUCCCUUGGUUCCUUAUCCUUCUUAUAAGGAACCAAGGGACUUUGAAAUCAUUUUCU